CGAACGGAAGUUUAGCAAUUAAACUUUAGUGGCGAACGGGUGAGUAACGCGUAAGCAAUCUGCCCCUAAGACGAGGAUAACAGUUGGAAACGACUGCUAAGACUGGAUAGGAGACAAGAAGGCAUCUUCUUGUUUUUAAAAGACCUAGCAAUAGGUAUGCUUAGGGAGGAGCUUGCGUCACAUUAGUUAGUUGGUGGGGUAAAGGCCUACCAAGACUAUGAUGUGUAGCCGGGCUGAGAGGUUGAACGGCCACAUUGGGACUGAGACACGGCCCAAACUCCUACGGGAGGCAGCAGUAGGGAAUUUUCGGCAAUGGAGGAAACUCUGACCGAGCAACGCCGCGUGAACGAUGAAGUAUUUCGGUACGUAAAGUUCUUUUAUUAGGGAAGAAUAAAUGAUGGAAAAAUCAUUCUGACGGUACCUAAUGAAUAAGCCCCGGCUAACUAUGUGCCAGCAGCCGCGGUAAUACAUAGGGGGCAAGCGUUAUCCGGAAUUAUUGGGCGUAAAGGGUGCGUAGGCGGUUAAAUAAGUUUAUGGUCUAAGUGCAAUGCUCAACAUUGUGAUGCUAUAAAAACUGUUUAGCUAGAGUAAGAUAGAGGCAAGUGGAAUUCCAUGUGUAGUGGUAAAAUGCGUAAAUAUAUGGAGGAACACCAGUAGCGAAGGCGGCUUGCUGGGUCUUUACUGACGCUGAGGCACGAAAGCGUGGGGAGCAAACAGGAUUAGAUACCCUGGUAGUCCACGCCGUAAACGAUGAGUACUAAACGUUGGGUAAAACCAGUGUUGAAGUUAACACAUUAAGUACUCCGCCUGAGUAGUACGUACGCAAGUAUGAAACUUAAAGGAAUUGACGGGACUCCGCACAAGCGGUGGAUCAUGUUGUUUAAUUCGAAGGUACCCGAAAAACCUCACCAGGUCUUGACAUGCUUCUGCAAAGCUGUAGAAACACAGUGGAGGUUAUCAGUUGCACAGGUGGUGCAUGGUUGUCGUCAGCUCGUGUCGUGAGAUGUUGGGUUAAGUCCCGCAACGAGCGCAACCCUUAUUGUUAGUUACCAGCACGUAAUGGUGGGGACUUUAGCAAGACUGCCAGUGAUAAAUUGGAGGAAGGUGGGGACGACGUCAAAUCAUCAUGCCCCUUAUGACCUGGGCUACAAACGUGAUACAAUGGCUGUUACAAAGGGUAGCUGAAGCGCAAGUUUUUGGCGAAUCUCAAAAAAACAGUCUCAGUUCGGAUUGAAGUCUGCAACUCGACUUCAUGAAGUUGGAAUCGCUAGUAAUCGCGAAUCAGCAUGUCGCGGUGAAUACGUUCUCGGGGUUUGUACACACCGCCCGUCAAACCACGAAAGUUGGCAAUACCCAAAGCCGGUGGCCUAACUUCGCAAGAAGAGGGAACCGUCUAAGGUAGGGUCGAUGAUUGGGGUUAAG
rnacentral:rRNA from 1 species